GCAUUGGUUGUUCAGUGGUAGAAUUCUUGCCUUUCACGCAGGAGAUUCGAGUUCUAUUUCCAUGCCAAUGCU
rnacentral:tRNA from 1 species